CUGUAACUUUUGUUUUAAACAAGUUUUUGAAAUAAUUUUUGAACUCAGAUGAUGUGUAGUGCCCUGCGCAUAAUGUGAAUAAGUUUUUUGAGUGAACCAACUCAUAUUGAGCAUACAAGAUGCCUAGAAAUUACCAACGAAAGACUGAGCGUCAAAAAUGGUCUGAAAAAUCUAUGGCCAGCGCUCUGGAAGCAUUACAAAAAGGAACUUGUGGAUUUCUAAAAGCAUCC
rnacentral:lncRNA from 1 species